rnacentral:rRNA from 1 species
UUAAUUUGAGAGUUUGAUCCUGGCUCAGGACGAACGCUGGCGGCGUGCCUAAUACAUGCAAGUCGAACGAACUC